rnacentral:rRNA from 1 species
CCCUUAGAUGAUUUGGGCUGCACGCGCGCUACACUGACCCUAACAAUGAGCAACUGUCUGGCCUGAGAUGGCUGGGUAGCCUUUUCAACCCAUGUCAUGAUUGGGCUAGAUUUUUGUAAGUCUUGAUCUCUAACGAGGAAUCCCUAGUAUGUGUGAAUCAUCAAUCCAUGCAGAUUAUGUCCCUGCCCUUUGUACACACCGCCCGUCGCUCCUACCGAUUGAGUGGUCCGGUGAGGCCUUGGGAGGGCUAAGUGGGCUGUGUUUCACAGACUACCUGGCCCGAACCUGGUCAAACCUUAUCACUUAGAGGAAGGAGAAGUCGUAACA